rnacentral:rRNA from 1 species
UACGUAGGGGGCAAGCGUUGUCCGGAAUCAUUGGGCGUAAAGAGCGUGUAGGCGGCCCGAUAAGUCCGCCGUGAAAGUCCAGGGCCCAACCCUGGGAUGCCGGUGGAUACUGUCGGACUAGAGUACGGAAGAGGCGAGUGGAAUUCCCGGUGUAGCGGUGAAAUGCGCAGAUAUCGGGAGGAACACCAAUUGCGAAGGCAGCUCGCUGGGACGUUACUGACGCUGAGACGCGAAAGCGUGGGGAGCAAACAGG